GAGACUGCGGGAGCCAGAGGAGGAUCAUGCCAGGGCUCCCGAGUGCUAAUGAACUAACAGGGAAGCCGAGUUAAUGAGUUCCGAGGAGGGGCUGUUGUCAGAGGUUUCCAAGUAAUAGCGAAGAGUUAUGGGGCCAGGAGGCCGGGCCGGGAGCAUCCAAAGUGGCCCCCACGGCUCUAGAAAGGGAGGGUAGGAAAAUUAGGGGGAUAGGUCCCCGAAGUAGGCAAGGAGUCAGGAAGAGAGAGAGGAUGAAGGGGAGUGACGGGAGUCCUGGAGCCCCGCAGAGAUGUGUAAGGUGGAAGACGGAGAGUCCACUGGGGAGCCCACAGAUUCUGACUUUUAUAGGAGCAGGGAGAAAGGAGCGAGAGUGGGGAGGGCAGAGCCCUUCAAGCUGCUCCUGAAUUAGCAGGGAUAGUUCCAAACACAGAGAGCGGUGGUUGAAGAGUGCAGGAAAGCUGGGGUUGCCAUGUUGGGUUGGGGGGUACCAGGCGAUUGGCAACUGUGUUUUGAACUAAUUUAUCCAUUGUUUGUGCAUUUGAAAGAGGAAGGAUUUAAAACUCAGAGAGGUUUAAUUAUUCACCCAAGGCUCAUACAGCUCUCAGGUGGUCUAACCCUGAUUCUACCCAAGGCUUCUGGAAUUUGCUAAGAGAAGGCAGGUGCUGUCCCGAGCUCAGAGAGCUCACAGCCUACAUUGGCGAGGCAGGUACAUCUACUCCAACAACACUAUAUCCUGAAGGGAGUAAGAGUAGAAUUUCCUCCCAAGACUUAUCUGCAGCCUUCUGCCCCACCAGUCGGCAAUUUCCUGUACCAGGUGGUGGCAGGCAACGACUAAGACCAAGGAUACGAAGUGGUUUUGCAAACUUCAGAGAUCUCUGGAAAAAUUACAACAGUCCUCCACGUGGUUGUCUGAGCAGUCUCAGAAGAACAGUGCUGCUCAAUUUAUUUAGCUGGAAUCUUAAAGCAAACAGAGGUUUUUAGAAACUGAGGUUCACAGAAGUGAAAGGUUCCUUGCCCAAAGUCGCACAGGAUUGUAGCGAGAGAGCUCGUGUUUGAACUUCAGAGCCCACAGUCUGGGACGUUCAUCUAUCUGGGCUACCUUCCAGGCGCGGCCGAACAGCACCGCAGAAGGCCAGACUCUUGCGGAGAUGUUCCCUUCAUUACAUCGGUGGUGUCUCUUCUGCAGUCCGGCUCAUGAAGAACCAGCGCGAUUCUCCUCUGAAAUACAAGGCCCCCGGUGCAGUUCCAGGAACACAGUGAGCAGUACGUUGCACGGCACGUAGCAGGCUCCCAGACAAGAUUCUUCCUCUACUCCUAGCAAACUAUUUCCUUUUGUUAUUUGUUCAUUCACCGAACAAAACUCAAGGAGAAGCAACUCUGCGGCAGGCCUGGUUCUCCAGAAAUACACAGGCUGUGAUCCCAGCCGCAGGGGGCUCAGGGGCCGAUGGGAAGUUCGACCUGGAAACAAGAGGGGGAGCACCCGGUGUGAAACGCCCUGCACCCCUGCAGCAAAGGGAGUGACCAUGAGAUAUGCACGGGGCGACGGCAGAGAGUGGCACAGAGCAUAAGGUGGCCUGGGAAAGACAGGGGGUGCAUUGAAGUGGGAAGGGCCAGCAUACUAUGGCUCGAAGGGGAGUGGCAGUAGGGCUUACCUGGGAGACCCUAGCGAAGCAGCUGGCACCAUCGCUGGACAUUACCGUCUUCCGCAUAACACAGGAAUGCCAUUGCCGCCGGUGGGCAGGGAGGCCAAAGAGAAAGGGUUUUACUCUCACCAACCGUUCCACUGGCAGUGGCUCGGGUGUCCCGACAAUCAUGUGCGCUGGGCGGGGGCGUGCAUGAGAAUGGGGCGAGAGGCACGGCUUGAUGAAAUUUGAACAGCAUUUGCUCGGAACAAUUCUAUCUUCAUUGUUAUCUCAUCAAAAACAAACAAUUGCACAGUCAGCUCUGGAAAGCCAGAGGAAAAUGUUGAUGCCAAGGGACACUCAGCACCUCUUCAGAGCCAGACAUUGGCUGAGCCAGUUGACAGAGCCAGAAAUUGGGCCAGCCUGGUUUAAGAACGGGGUUUUCUGAUAUUCCUUCACCGUCUCACCGUCUUUUAAUGGCAAACACAAGCUCACUGACCAGGAGUCCAAAGUGGGAGGUGAUUUUAAAGCUAAGAUCCAAAUGCCCAUCCGUAUUCAAGAGAAAUCGCAGCUGCCAGCCUGUGCAACAGCAGAAGCAUUUGGAAAAUUUCAUGAGAAGGAAGACACCUUUCACUGUUCUCCAAAAGUACUUAAGAUAUUCAAGAAAUCUUUGAGCAGUUACUCCUGAAAGUUUUGUGAGGCAAAAACCCAAGAAUUUGGUUUGGCUUUAAUCAAAUAUUUAUGAUGCCCUCAUUAGUCUCCAGUCCAAGGGUACUGCAGGCUCUCAUUUGAAUUUCCGAGCGGUGAGGGAGUUUUGAAAGGAAAUGUCAUAUUAUAUGCACUGUUUAUACAGAUCAAAUAUGCAUGUGUUGGUUUUGCAGACUGGUGUCGGGCUGCUGUUGUUUACCGGGGCGGUGGUAACGAGCGGCAGCAGGGCGUCCUGCUGGGCAUCCUGGGGGACAUCUGGGCCACCGUGGGCCCGGGGAGGCCACUGCAUGGCACAGGCCACUGCAUGGCAUGGGGCCCUGGGGAUGUGCAGAGGCAUCCCUGUCACUGCAGUGCCUGGCAAGUUUGACUGCUAUGUGAUAAUGAGGGGACAUUCAGACCCACCCAGGUGAAGGCGGGAAGGGGGAAGGAGGUUCCAGGCAGAGAAAGCCACUUCCAUGAAGCCUGGAGGCCACAGAGAGCAAGGUGAGUUUCGCUAAUUGCAGGUUCCGUGUGGCACGUGUAGUGGUGAGGCAUGUGAGUGGAGGCGUGACUGGGGACAAGAAGGGAAGGAAGGCAGGGCUGGGAUCCCAGCGGCCUCGUAGGCCCCACAAAGGAACUUAGACUUUAUUGUCGGGGAGGUGGGAAGGCGUUUGUGGGUUUUCAGCUAGCGAGCGGCGUCAUCUGGGUUGUGUUCUAAGGAGAUUUCUCUGGCUGUGAUGGAGAAACGGAUUGGCGGGAGACAAUGCUGGGCA